AAAAACUCAAUUAUUAAGUUUCCGUGUAACGUUUGACUAUUUGUUUUAUAUGAAUUUUUUCUAUAAUUAGUAUUUUUAUUGUUGUUAGAUGAUAAAACAUGGAUAAUAUUUUUUAUGUGACUUUUAUUUUUAAUAUUUUUUAAAAAUAAUACGGACGUUGAAACGCUAGACACGAAAAUCUAAG
rnacentral:pre_miRNA from 1 species